UUUGAGCGGAGUAAACAUGCU
rnacentral:siRNA from 1 species